UGGCCGCGGUAUUUUGACCGUGCAAAGGUAGCAUAAUAAUUAGGUUAUUGAUUGUAAUCUUGAAUGAAGGGUUGGACGUAAAAAUGACUGUCUUAUUUUAAUAAUUGAAUUUAAAUUAUGGGUAAAAAUGCCUAUAUUAUAAUUAAACGAGAAGACCCUAUUAAGCUUUAUAUGUAAUUUUUAGAGUUUUAGUGUUUUUAAGGUUAUUAUAUAUUUUACUGGGGCGGUAAUUAAUAGUUAAACAUUAUAUUUUGUGUAUUCUUAUAAGAAUUGUUGAUCCUUUAUUGAUGAUUAUUAGAUUAAGUUACUAUAGGGAUAACAGCACAAUUUGUUCUGAGAGUUCUUAUUGAUGAAUAAGAUUGUGACCUCGAUGUUGAAUUAAAAUUUCUUUUUAAUGCAGAAGUUUUUCUAGAUAGUCUGUUCGACUAUUUAAUUUUUACG
rnacentral:rRNA from 1 species